rnacentral:rRNA from 1 species
UACAGAGGGUGCAAGCGUUGUUCGGAAUUAUUGGGCGUAAAGGGCGUGUAGGCGGUCUGCUAAGUCAUGUGUGAAAUCCCUCGGCUUAACCGAGGAACGACGCAUGAAACUGGCAAGCUAGAGUACCAAAGAGGGGGGUGGAAUUCCCGGUGUAGCGGUGAAAUGCGUAGAUAUUCGGAAGAACACCAGUGGCGAAGGCGACUGACUGGACAGAUAUUGACGCUGAGGUGCGAAAGCGUGGGGAGCAAACAGG